rnacentral:misc_RNA from 1 species
AAUGCUCAAGCCCUUGCAGUUCUUGUGACUGGCUCUUAAGGGAUUGGAUGUGGAGGUUUUUGCUGGUCUUUUGUAAGGUCAGCUCCUCUGAAAUGCAUUAGCGGAACCGUUUGUGAUCUGUCAAUGGUGGUGAUAGCUAUCUACACCAAAAGGUUGCUCUCUGGCUUGUUCAGCUCCCAACUAGUCCUUCUCUCUGGACAAACUACUGAAC